rnacentral:rRNA from 1 species
UACCAGCACCCCGAGUGGUCGGGACGAUUAUUGGGCCUAAAGCAUCCGUAGCCGGUUUUACAAGUCCUCCGUUAAAUCCAACUGCUUAACAGAUGGGCCGCGGAGGAUACUAUAGAGCUAGGAGGCGGGAGAGGCAAGCGGUACUCGAUGGGUAGGGGUAAAAUCCGUUGAUCCAUUGAAGACCACCAGUGGCGAAGGCGGCUUGCCAGAACGCGCUCGACGGUGAGGGAUGAAAGCUGGGGGAGCAAACCGG